rnacentral:snRNA from 1 species
GUGCUCAUUUCAGCAGCACAUAUACUAAAAUUGGAAUGAUACAGAGAAGACUGGCAUGGCCCCUGCGCAGGGGUGACAUGCAAAUUUGUGAAGCGUUCCAUAGUUUU